AUUGAACGCUGGCGGCAUGCUUUACACAUGCAAGUCGAACGGUAACAGGGUGCUUGCACCGCUGACGAGUGGCCAACGGGUGAGUAAUGCGUCGGAACGCACCGAGUAAUGGGGAUAACGCAGCGAAAGCUGUGCUAAUACCGCAUACGCUCUGAGGAGGAAAGCGGGGGACCUUCGGGCCUCGCGUUAUUCGAGCGGCCGACGUCUGAUUAGCUAGUAGGUGAGGUAAGAGCUCACCUAGGCGACGAUCAGUAGCGGGUCUGAGAGGAUGAUCCGCCACACUGGGACUGAGACACGGCCCAGACUCCUACGGGAGGCAGCAGUGGGGAAUUUUGGACAAUGGGCGCAAGCCUGAUCCAGCCAUGCCGCGUGUCUGAAGAAGGCCUUCGGGUUGUAAAGGACUUUUGUCAGGGAGGAAAUCCUUAGCGCUAAUACCGUUGGGGGAUGACAGUACCUGAAGAAUAAGCACCGGCUAACUACGUGCCAGCCGCCGCAGUAA
rnacentral:rRNA from 1 species